AUUGAACGCUGGCGGCAUGCUUUACACAUGCAAGUCGAGCGGCAGCGCGGGACUCAGGCAACUGAGCCCUGGCGGCGAGCGGCGGACGGGUGAGUAAUGCAUCGGAACGUGUCCCGUAGUGGGGGAUAACGCCGCGAAAGCGGCGCUAAUACCGCAUACGCUCUACGGAGGAAAGCAGGGGACCUGCAAGGGCCUUGUGCUAGGGGAGCGGCCGAUGUCCGAUUAGCUAGUUGGUGGGGUAAUGGCUUACCAAGGCAACGAUCGGUAGCUGGYCUGAGAGGAUGAUCAGCCACACUGGGACUGAGACACGGCCCAGACUCCUACGGGAGGCAGCAGUGGGGAAUUUUGGACAAUGGGGGCAACCCUGAUCCAGCCAUGCCGCGUGCGGGAAGAAGGCCUUCGGGUUGUAAACCGCUUUUAGCCGGGAAGAAAAGUCUACGGAUAACACCCCGUGGGUUUUGACGGGUACCGGGCGGGAAUAAAGGCACCCGGCUAAACUUACGUUGCCCAGCCAAGCCGCGGUAAUACGUAGGGGUGCGAGCGUUAAAUCCGGAAUUACUGGGCGUAAAGCGUGCGCAGGCGGUCGUUGUGUCGGUGGUGAAAGCCCCGGGCU
rnacentral:rRNA from 1 species